AUAAAUGGACACCCAGGUGACAACUGCAUGGACACCUGGGUGACAGCGGCAUGGACACCUGGGUGAGACACAAAUGGACACACGGCUGAGAGCUGUACAGGCAACUGGGGGACAGCAGCACAGGCAGCUAGAUGAGAGCUGCAUGGGAAUUUGGUUGAGAGCUGUAUCGGAACCUGAGUGAGAGAUAAAUGGAUACCUGGGUGAGAGCUGCAUGGGCAUUUAAAAAGAGCUGCAGGGGCAGCCGGUCCUCUCUAGGAUAUUUCUGCUUGGUGCACCUCAUGGGCUGCAGUCCUGGAUCUGUCUGGAAAAUAGGGUAGUAUCUUCCCUGUAGACCCCUGAGGGCCUCUGCUUGUGCAGAUCCUGCUUUGCAAGGAAAUAAAUUUUCUUCAAAAAUAAA